rnacentral:rRNA from 1 species
CCCCUAGAUGUUCUGGGCCGCACGCGCGCUACACUGAACAGUUCAACAAGUCUUAACCUUGGCCGAUAGGUCUGGGUAAUCUUUGAACGCUGUUCGUGAUUGGGAUAGACCUUUGCAAUUAUGGGUCUUCAACGAGGAAUUCCUAGUAAACGCAAGUCAUCAGCUUGCAUUGAUUACGUCCCUGCCCUUUGUACACACCGCCCGUCGCACCUACCGAUUGAAUGAUUUAGUGAGGACUUCGGACUGGGACCGAUGCGGCUUUCGGGCUGCGUCGGUAUUCUGGAAAGAUGUCCAAACUGUAUCAUUUAGAGGAAGUAAAAGUCGUANCA